rnacentral:tRNA from 1 species
UAGCUCAGUCGGUUAGAGCGUGGUGCUAAUAACACCAAGGUCAUGGGUUUGAUCCCAGU